rnacentral:tRNA from 1 species
UCGCGUAGCUCAACUGGCAGAGCAGGGGACUCUUAAUCCCAAGGUUCAGGGUUCGACUCCCUGCGCGA